GUUGAUCCUGCGGGAGGUUGCUGCUAUUGGAGUUCGACUAAGCCAUGCAAGUUAGGUAACUUUAUGUUGCCGGCAAACUGCUCAGUAACACGUCGUUAAUCUAACCUUAGAUUCGGGAUAACCUCGGGAAACUGAGACUAAUAUCGAAUACGGGAUUAAUUCUGGAAUGAAUUUUCCUAUAAAGGUAACGUCUAAGGAUGAGACGGCGGCGAAUUAGGUUGUUGGUGGUGUAAUGGACCACCAAGCCAACGAUUCGUAGAGGCCUUGAGAGAGGGAGCCUCGAGAAGGGCACUGAGAUACAGGCCCUAGCCCUACGGGGUGCAGCAGGCGCGAAACCUUUACACUGCACGAAAGUGUGAUAAGGGAACUCCAAGUGCUUACCUUUUGGUAGGCUUUUGCCAAAUGUAAAAAGUUUGGCGAAUAAGUGGUGGGAAAGACGGGUGCCAGCCGCCGCGGUAACACCUGCGCCACGAGUGGGGACCAUAAUUAUUGGGCCUAAAGCGUCCGUAGCCGAUCUAGCAAAUCUUCUGUGAAAUUUUAUGCUUAACAUACCAACGUGCAGGAGACACUACUGAAUUGGAACUGGAAGGAGUCAGAAGUAUGUCUGGGGGAGCGGUAAAAUGUUAUAAUCCCAGAUAGACUACCUGUGGCGAAAGCGUCUGACUAGUACAGAUUCGACGGUGAGGGACGAAAGCUAGGGGAGCAAUCCGGAUUAGAUACCCGAGUAGUCCUAGCCAUAAACGCUGCGAGCUAGGUGUAGCAUAUUUUACGAGAAUGUGCUGUGUCGUAGAGAAGUCGUUAAGCUCGCCGCCUGGGAAGUAUAGUCGCAAGACCGAAACUUAAAGGAAUUGGCGGGGGAGCACUACAAGGGGUGCGGCGUGCGGUUUAAUCUAAUUCAACGCAGAGAACCUCACCAGAAGCGACGGCAGAAUGAAAGUCAGUCUAAAGGGCUUACUUGACGAGCCGAGAGGUAGCGCAUGGCCGCCGUCAGCUCAUGCCGUAAGGUGUCCUGUUAAGUCAGGCAACGAGCGAGACCUGUACCUACAAUUGCUAGCAACUAGCAAUAGGAUUGAGCACAUUGUGGGAACUGCCUUCGAAAGAAGGAGGAAGGUGCAGGCUACGGUAGGUCUGUAUGCUCCGAAUCUUCUGGGCUACACGCGCGCAACAAUGAUAUGGACAAUGGGAUGCGACUCCGAAAGGAGAAGCUAAUCCUCGAAACCAUACCUUAGUUCAGAUCGAGGUUUGCAACUCAGCCUCGUGACGCUGGAAUCCCUAGUAAUCAGACGUCAUCAUCGUCCGGUGAAUAUGUCCCUGCUCCUUGCACACACCGCCCGUCAAACCACCUGAGUAGGGUUUAGAUGAGGGCUUAUUUUUAAUAAGUUCAAAUCUAAGCUUUGCGAGGAGGGUUAAGUCGUCACAAGGUA
rnacentral:rRNA from 1 species